rnacentral:lncRNA from 1 species
AUGCGCUACAGGCUGUGGCGUCACCAGCCCCAGCAACUCUUCCCAAGAUCAGGCUCCAUGCAGAGAGAAGCUUCAAGAGCGUUCAUUCUCUCAAGGCAUCCCUGCAAACCCAUCCAGAUGAGGAUCAUCAGAGGCUCAGGGAAAGUGGCCUGUGAUCACAGCAGAUCGGAGCUGGAGCCCGCCGGGCCGGAGCCGCGCGGGCGCUGGCGGCAGAGGCGACGACGUCGACGCGCGGAGGACGCCCAGCUCGAGGCGCCGCGGGAGGCAGCACUCAGGUCGGGGGCACCCCGGGACUCCCGCCCCGCCCCCCAGGCCCGGCGUCGCCGCGCAGGUCUGCGAAGUUUCGCGUGGGUCCGCCAGAGGGCGCCCCGGGGCGGAGGCGGGGCGGGAGCCGGGAGCCCCGCAAGGGCUGCGGCGGGUCAGUC